rnacentral:tRNA from 1 species
GGGAGCUUAGCUCAGUCGGUAGAGCAACGGCCUUUUAAGCCGUGGGUCGCAGGUUCGAUCCCUGCAGCUCUCUCCA